rnacentral:rRNA from 1 species
GGAGGGUGCAAGCGUUAUCCGGAUUUACUGGGUUUAAAGGGUGCGCAGGCGGAUAUGUAAGUCAGUGGUGAAAUCUCCGGGCUUAACCCGGAAAUUGCCGUUGAUACUAUAUAUCUUGAAUGCUGUGGAGGUAAGCAGAAUAUGUCAUGUAGCGGUGAAAUGCUUAGAUAUGACAUAGAAUACCUAUUGCGAAGGCAGCUUACUACGCAGAUAUUGACGCUCAUGCACGAAAGCGUGGGGAUCAAACAGGAUUAGAUACCCUGGUAGUCCACGCCCUAAACGAUGAUUACUCGACAUACGCGAUACACUGUGUGUGUCUGRGSGAAAGCAUUAAGUAAUCCACCUGGGAAGUACGAUCGCA